rnacentral:rRNA from 1 species
UAGGGAAUCUUCCGCAAUGGACGCAAGUCUGACGGAGCAACGCCGCGUGAGUGAAGAAGGAUUUCGGUUCGUAAAACUCUGUUGUUAGAGAAGAACAGCGCAUAGAGUAACUGUUAUGCGUGUGACGGUAUCCAACCAGAAAGCCACGGCUAACUACGUGCCAGCAGCCGCGGUAAUACGUAGGUGGCAAGCGUUAUCCGGAAUUAUUGGGCGUAAAGCGCGCGUAGGCGGUUUUUUAAGUCUGAUGUGAAAGCCCACGGCUCAACCGUGGAGGGUCAUUGGAAACUGGAAAACUUGAGUGCAGAAGAGGAAAGUGGAAUUCCAUGUGUAGCGGUGAAAUGCGCAGAGAUAUGGAGGAACACCAGUGGCGAAGGCGACUUUCUGGUCUGUAACUGACGCUGAUGUGCGAAAGCGUGGGGAUCAAACAGG